rnacentral:rRNA from 1 species
AUUGAACGCUGGCGGCAGGCCUAACACAUGCAAGUCGAACGGUAACAGGAAGAAGCUUGCUUCUUUGCUGACGAGUGGCGGACGGGUGAGUAAUGUCUGGGAAACUGCCUGAUGGAGGGGGAUAACUACUGGAAACGGUAGCUAAUACCGCAUAACGUCGCAAGACCAAAGAGGGGGACCUUCGGGCCUCUUGCCAUCGGAUGUGCCCAGAUGGGAUUAGCUAGUAGGUGGGGUAACGGCUCACCUAGGCGACGAUCCCUAGCUGGUCUGAGAGGAUGACCAGCCACACUGGAACUGAGACACGGUCCAGACUCCUACGGGAGGCAGCAGUGGGGAAUAUUGCACAAUGGGCGCAAGCCUGAUGCAGCCAUGCCGCGUGUAUGAAGAAGGCCUUCGGGUUGUAAAGUACUUUUAGCGGGGAGGAAGGGAGUAAAGUUAAUACCUUUGCUCAUUGACGUUACCCGCAGAAGAAGCACCGGCUAACUCCGUG